rnacentral:rRNA from 1 species
GAGGCGACCGCUAUUGGAAUCCGAUUAAGCCAUGCGAGUCGAGAGUCUUAGGGACUCGGCAUACUGCUCAGUAACACGUGGAUAACCUGCCCUGAGCUGGGGGAUAACCUCGGGAAACUGAGAAUAAUACCCCAUAGGCCACUAUGCCUGGAACGGUUUGUGGCUGAAAGCCCCGGCGGCUCAGGAUGGGUCUGCGGCAUAUCAGGUAGUAGUGGGUGUAACGGACCCACUAGCCUUCGACGUGUACGGGUUGUGAGAGCAAUAGCCCGGAGAUGGAUUCUGAGACACGAAUCCAGACCCUACGGGGUGCAGCAGGCGCGAAAACUUCACACUGCGGGAAACCGCGAUGAGGGGAUUCCAAGUGUCUGGGGUAAGACCCAGUCUUUUCUUGACUCUUAAUAGGUCUUGGAAUAAGGGGCGGGUAAGACCGGUGCCAGCCGCCGCCGGUAAUACCGGCGCCUCGAGUGGUCGUCGCUUUUAUUGGGCCUAAAACGUCCGUAGCCGGUCCGGUAAACCCGUGGGUAAAUCAACCAGCUUAACUGGUUGAAUUCUGCGGAGACUGCCGGACUAGGGACCGGGAGAGGUACGAGGUACUCCUGGGGUAGGGGUAAAAUCCUGUCAUCCCAGGGGGACCACCUGUUGCGAAGGCGUCGUACUAGAACGGAUCCGACGGUCAGGGACGAAGCCUAGGGGCACGAACCGGAUUAGAUACCCGGGUAGUCCUAGGUGUAAACGCUGUGGACUUGGUGUUGGGGAUCCCAAGCGGGUUCCCAGUGCCGAAGCGAAGGUGUUAAGUCCACUGCCUGGGGAGUACGGUCGCAAGGCUGAAACUUAAAGGAAUUGGCGGGGGAGCACUGCAACGAGAGGAGCGUGCGGUUUAAUUGGAUUCAACGC